AGUGUGAGCAUAUAUGUUGGGACCCGAAAGAUGGUGAACUAUGCUGAGUAGGACGAAGCCAGGGAACUCUGGUGGAGGUCCGUAGCGAUUCUAACGUGCAAAUUGAUCGUCGAACUUGAGUAUAGGGGCGAAAGACUAAUCGAACCAUCUAGUAGCUGGUUCCUCCCGAAAUUUCCCUUAGGAUAGCUGCAACCGAACAGUUUUAUCAGGUAAAGCGAAUGAUUAGAGGCCUCAGGGAUGAAAUGUCCUUGACCUAUUCUCAAACUUUUAAAUGGGUAAGAGCCCUGAGUUGCUUAAGUGAACUCGGCGGUCGAAUGACGGUUGCUAGUGGGCCAAUCUGGGUAAGCUAGAUUGGCGAUGCGGGAUGCUCCGAACGUUGAGUUAAAGUGCCAAAAUAUCCGCUAACCUAGAUCCCACAAAAGGUGUUGGUUCAUUAAGACAGCAGGACGGUGGCCAUGGAAGUCGGAACCCGCUAAGGAGUGUGUAACAACUCACCUGCCGAAUGAACUAGCCCUGAAAAUGGAUGGCGC
rnacentral:rRNA from 1 species